UACAGAGGGUGCAAGCGUUGUUCGGAAUUACUGGGCGUAAAGCGCGUGUAGGUGGCUUGUUAAGUCCUGUGUGAAAGCCCCAGGCUCAACCUGGGAAGUGCGCCAGGAUACUGGCAAGCUGGAGUGGCGGAGAGGAUGGCGGAAUUCCCGGUGUAGAGGUGAAAUUCGUAGAUAUCGGGAGGAACACCUGUGGCGAAGGCGGCCAUCUGGACGUUCACUGACACUGAGACGCGAAAGCGUGGGGAGCAAACAG
rnacentral:rRNA from 1 species